CGGGACUACAAUGCAAAUUGGAUGUCAGCAGUUGAGAUUCUCGACGACGACAUUUAUCUUGGUGCUGAAAAUUACUUCAACCUCUUCACUGUUCGAAAGAACAGCGAAGGAGCAACUGAUGAGGAGCGCAGCCGCCUAGAGGUGGUUGGUGAAUACCACCUUGGUGAAUUUGUUAACCGGUUCCAACAUGGCUCCCUCGUAAUGCGUUUACCAGAUUCUGACGUUGGUCAAAUUCCAACAGUCAUUUUUGGCUCUGUCAAUGGCG
rnacentral:lncRNA from 1 species